rnacentral:lncRNA from 1 species
UGAGAGUCUGUGUGUAAAUUUCCCAGAUUUUCACUUUUGUCAAUUCCAACCACAAUGCAAAUUAUUAUAUCAUAUGCAUUCCUGUCUUGGUAUAGUAUUAUCAUAUUUAUUUUUAUUUAAGAUAAUUUAUCAUAUGUUUUUUGUUAUCUUAAUUGUCAAAUGUUUUUAAAAAUCUUCUGUGAAAAUCCUACACAAAAUAUCUUUGUGUCCUACAACAUAUUUAAUUUACUGGAGAACUUGGGGUCUGUGUAGUCAAGAAAGACUUCACUAUCCCAUAAAUUUAUACUUUGAUUUUGAAUAUAUUUUGGCACCAAAGGAGAAUAUGAGAUUGGAAGUACUUCUGGCUUCCACACUUGAUUUAUAUUU